rnacentral:rRNA from 1 species
AACCCAGACUCCUACGGGAGGCAGCAGUGAGGAAUAUUGGUCAAUGGGCGGGAGCCUGAACCAGCCAAGCCGCGUGAAGGAAGAAGGCGCCAGGCGUCGUAAACUUCUUUUGUCGGGGAACAAAGGGCGCCACGCGUGGCGUUGUGAGUGUACCCGAAGAAAAAGCACCGGCUAACUCCGUGCCAGCAGCCGCGGUAAUACGUAGGGGGCAAGCGUUGUUCGGAAUGACUGGGCGUAAAGGGUGUGUAGGCGGUGUAGCAAGUUAGAAGUGAAAUACCUAGAGCUUAACUCAGGUGCUGCUUCUAAAACUGCUAUACUUGAGUGCAGUAGAGGAAAGUGGAAUUCCUAGUGUAGCGGUGGAAUGCGUAGAUAUUAGGAGGAACAUCAGUGGCGAAGGCGACUUUCUGGACUGUAACUGACGCUGAGGCACGAAAGUGUGGGGAGCAAACAGGAUUAGAUACCCGGGUAC